GUGCCAGCCGCCGCGGUAAUACGAACCGUGCGAACGUUGUUCGGAAUCACUGGGCUUAAAGGGCGCGUAGGCGGGCGAUCAAGUCAGGGGUGAAAUCCUCCAGCUUAACUGGAGAACUGCCUUUGAUACUGGUCAUCUCGAGUGAGGUAGGGGCAUGCGGAACUGAUGGUGGAGCGGUGAAAUGUGUUGAUAUCAUCAGGAACUCCGGUGGCGAAAGCGGCGUGCUGGACCUCUACUGACGCUGAGGCGCGAAAGCUAGGGGAGCGAACGGGAUUAGAAACCCGUGUAGUCC
rnacentral:rRNA from 1 species